GAUGAACGCUAGCGGCAGGCUUAACACAUGCAAGUCGAGGGGCAGCAUGAGACGGAGAUUCGUCGAAGUCUUGAUGGCGACCGGCGCAAGGGUGCGUAACGCGUGAGCAACUUGCCCGUUUCUGGGGAAUAACCGGUGGAAACGCCGACUAAUACCCCAUAGUAUCAGGUUUAGGCAUCUUUAUCUGAUUAAAGAAUUUCGGAAACGGAUAGGCUCGCGUGACAUUAGCUAGAUGGCGGGGUAACGGCCCACCAUGGCAACGAUGUCUAGGGGUUCUGAGAGGAAGGUCCCCCACACUGGAACUGAGACACGGUCCAG
rnacentral:rRNA from 1 species